rnacentral:rRNA from 1 species
UACGUAGGGUGCAAGCGUUGUCCGGAAUUAUUGGGCGUAAAGAGUUCGUAGGCGGUCUGUCGCGUCGGCUGUGAAAACUCGGGGCUCAACCCCGAGCCUGCAGUCGAUACGGGCAGACUAGAGUGCUGUAGGGGAGACUGGAAUUCUUGGUGUAGCGGUGAAAUGCGCAGAUAUCAGGAGGAACACCGGUGGCGAAGGCGGCAUCCUGGACGACACCUGACACUGAGGCACGAAAGCUAGGGGAGCAAACAGG